AUACUCCGCGACGCUUAAGGUGCCAGACACAAGAAUGCGUCUGGUUAAACGGGAAACAGGUGAGGGAGUUAAUUCCUUAGGCCUGUGCUGCCCCCGCAACGGUAAGCAGGUGUGGACGUGUUGAUAACCUGGAUGCUUCAUAAAUUCGCGUGCCGCUCGCACAGUAUUCGUUUGAUAAGUAAAUUUAAUGGGUAAGAAGCAGGGCCAGCCUGAUUUAUCAAGGCAGCGGCCUCUCCUAGCUGAUUAAAUUUUCAUAGCAGACAGAACCUAGCAAGUGGUAAAUGUUAAGACGCGUAUAUUAUGGAAAACUUGAGUUAAGCCACUGUGAGUAAUCAUGGGAAGGCGAUGCGUCUAGUCCUGCAAGCCCGGAUACCGGCCAUGAGCACAGGAGCCUCA
rnacentral:ncRNA from 1 species